rnacentral:misc_RNA from 1 species
UUUCCGUAGGUGAACCUGCGGAAGGAUCAUUAUCAUGUAAUUCAGUCCCCUUGGCUGUGUUAUAUAUAUACCCACCCUGUGUACCUUCUCCUGUUGCUUCCGCUGGGUGUGUAAUUCGCCCGGCGGAAGGGUAAAAAUAACCUCUGAGUAUUGAUGAAAUCUCUGUCUGAACCGAAUAGAAAGAAAAAUGUUAAAACUUUCAGCAACGGAUCUCUUGGUUCUC